rnacentral:lncRNA from 1 species
UUCUUCUUUGGUCUUCCAACCUUCUUCGUAAUAUGUAAUAGUCUGUAUAACCCAUGAUAGUAGUGUUGCAAUAACAUAGCUGCAAGGUAUUCUUGUUAACUAUCACAAACGACAUGAACAUGUCCUCGCAACCAGGUCAACUGUUUAUAGAGUUUGAUUUGCAUUGUAUCAUAUUUGGAAUUUCUACUUUCCCAACUAAUCAGUAUAUUUA